GCACAAGCGGUGGAGCAUGUGGUUUAAUUCGACGCAACGCGAAGAACCUUACCCAGGCUUGAACUGCAGAUGACAUCCUACGAAAGUAGGCUUCCGCAAGGACGUCUGUAGAGGUGCUGCAUGGCUGUCGUCAGCUCGUGUCGUGAGAUGUUGGGUUAAGUCCCGCAACGAGCGCAACCCUUGUCUUCUGUUGCCAUCGGGUCAAGCCGGGCACUCUGAAGAGACUGCCGGUGACAAACCGGAGGAAGGUGGGGAUGACGUCAAGUCAGCAUGGCCUUUAUGUCUGGGGCCACACACGUGCUACAAUGGCCGGUACAAACCGUCGCGAGCCCGCAAGGGGGAGCUAAUCGGAGAAAGCCGGUCUCAGUUCGGAUUGUAGGCUGCAACUCGCCUGCAUGAAGUUGGAAUCGCUAGUAAUCGCGGAUCAGCACGCCGCGGUGAAUACGUUCCCGGGC
rnacentral:rRNA from 1 species